rnacentral:rRNA from 1 species
GUAGGUGGCAAGCGUUGUCCGGAAUUAUUGGGCGUAAAGCGCGCGCAGGUGGUUCUUUAAGUCUGAUGUGAAAGACCCCCGGGCUCAACCGGGGAGGGUCAUUGGAAACUGGGGAACUUGAGUGCAGGAGAGGAAAGUGGAAUUCCACGUGUAGCGGUGAAGUGCGUAGAUAUGUGGAGGAACACCAGUGGCGAAGGCGACUUUCUGGCCUGUAACUGACACUGAGGCGCGAAAGCGUGGGGAGCAAACAGGAUUAGAUACCCUGGUAGUCCACGCCGUAAACGAUGAGUGCUAAGUGUUGGGGGGUUUCCGCCCCUCAGUGCUGCAGCUAACGCACUAAGCACUCCGCCUGGGGAGUACGGUCGCAAAGACUG